UUAUUAUCAUCUACAAUCCCCCCUGGACUGCACUUUUAAAGGAGGUCAAGAAUGGAUCUGAAGCAACUUUCUUAUCUCCCAUGUGCCCUACCGGGGAAGGCGCAAGAUGCCCUCUGAAAGGGUGACCUAUCCCAGCAGUUCUAAGCCGCCGUUGCGUGUUUUUAGUUAUUAAUAGGACUUCCAGAACACCGCUCCGUGGCGGUGGUUUUCUAAGUGACGCUUUUUUACAAAAGAGGUUUUUUCAGAAGCGGCGACACCAUAGAACCGUAUUUAGUAAGUAACAUUUUGAGAAGAGUAAAGCUUCCUGGAGAAAGUCAAGAAAUAACUUGCGAUAAUUCCCAACACUCAAGAAACUCGGCAGCUUUUAAAAAUAGAGCGUGUGCAAGUACAGUGUCUCUCCAGCAGUGGUCUACACUCGAGAAACUCGGCAGCGUUUAAAAAUAGAGCCUGUGCGAGUGCAGCGUCUCUCCAACAUUGGUCUACACUCGAGAAACUCGGCAGCGUUUAAAAAUAGAGCCUAUGCGAGUGCAGCGUCUCUCCAACAGUGGUCUACACUCGAGAAACUCGGCAGCUUUUAAAAAUAGAGCGUGUGCGAGUGCAGCGUCUCUCCAACAGUGGUCUACACUCGAGAAACUCGGCAGCUUUUAAAAAUAGAGCGUGUGCGAGUGCAGCGUCUCUCCAACAGUGGUCUACACUCGAGAAACUCGGCAGCGUUUAAAAAUAGAGCCUGUACGAGUGCAGCGUCUCUCCAACAGUGGUCUACACUCGAGAAACUCGGCAGCUUUUAAAAAUAGAGCGUGUGCAAGUACAGCGUCUCUCCAACAGUGGUCUACACUCGAGAAACUCGGCAGCGUUUAAAAAUAGAGCCUGUACGAGUGCAGCGUCUCUCCAACAGUGGUCUACACUCGAGAAACUCAGCAGCUUUUAAAAAUAGAGCGUGUGCAAGUACAGCGUCUCUCCAACAGUGGUCUACACUCGAGAAACUCGGCAGCGUUUAAAAAUAGAGCCUGUGCGAGUGCAGCGUCUCUCCAACGGUGGUCUACACUCGAGAAACUUGGCAGCUUUUAAAAAUAGAGCGUGUGCGAGUGCAGCCUCUCUCCAACAGUGGUCUACACUCGAGAAACUUCGCAGCUUUUAAAAAUAGAGGCUGUGCGAGUGCAGCGUCUCUCCAACAGUGGUCUACACUCGAGACACUUGGCAGCUUUUAAAAAUAGAGCGUGUGUGAGUGCAGCGUCUCUCCCACAGUGGUCUACACUCGAGACACUCGGCAGCUUUUAAAAAUAGAGCGUGUGCGAGUGCAGCGUCUCCCCAACAGUGGUCUACACUCGAGAAACUCAGCAGCGUUUAAAAAUAGAGCCUGUACGAGUGCAGCGUCUCUCCAACAGUGGUCUACACUCGAGAAACUCGGCAGCUUUUAAAAAUAGAGCGUGUGCGAGUGCAGCGUCUCUCCAACAGUGGUCUACACUCGAGAAACUUGGCAGCGUUUAAAAAUAGAGCCUGUGCGAGUGCAGCGUCUCUCCAACGGUGGUCUACACUCGAGAAACUUGGCAGCUUUUAAAAAUAGAGCGUGUGCGAGUGCAGCGUCUCUCCAACAGUGGUCUACACUCGAGAAACUCGGCAGCUUUUAAAAAUAGAGCGUGUGCGAGUGCAGCGUCUCUCCAACAGUGGUCUACACUCGAGACACUCGGCAGCGUUUAAAAAUAGAGGCUGUGCGAGUGCAGCGUCUCUCCAACAGUGGUCUACACUCGAGACACUCGGCAGCGUUUAAAAAUAGAGCGUGUGCGAGUGCAGCGUCUCUCCAACAGUGGUCUACACUCGAGACACUUGGCAGCUUUUAAAAAUACAGCGUGCGUGAGUGCAGUGUCUAUCCCAUAGUGGUCUACACUCGAGAAACUCGGCAGCUUUAAAAAUAGAGCGUGUGCGAGUACAGCGUCUCUCCCACAGUGGUCUACACUCGAGAAACUCGGUAGCGUUUAAAAAUAGAGCCUGUGCGAGUGCAGCGUCUCUCCCACAGUGGUCUACACUCGAGAAACUCGGCAGCUUUUAAAAAUAGAGCGUGUGCGAGUGCAGCGUCUCUCCAACAGUGGUCUACACUCGAGACACUCGGCAGCGUUUAAAAAUAGAGCGUGUGCAAGUGCAGCAUCUCUCCAACAGUGGUCUACACUCGAGAAACUCGGCAGCUUUUAAAAAUAGAGCGUGUGCGAGUGCAGCGUCUCUCCAACAGUGGUCUACACUCGAGACACUCGGCAGCGUUUAAAAAUAGAGCCUGUGCGAGUGCAGCGUCUCUCCAACAGUGGUCUACACUGGAGAAACUCGGCAGCUUUAAAAAUAGAGCGUGUGUGAGUGCAGCGUCUCUCCAACAGUGGUCUACACUCGAGACACUCGGCAGCGUUUAAAAAUAGAGCGUGUGCGAGUGCAGCGUCUCUCCAACAGUGGUCUACACUCGAGAAACUCGGCAGCUUUUAAAAAUAGAGGCUGUGCGAGUGCAGCGUCUCUCCAACAGUGGUCUACACUCGAGAAACUCGGCAGCUUUUAAAAAUAGAGCCUGUGCGAGUGCAGCGUCUCUCCAACAGUGGUCUACACUCGAGAAACUUCGCAGCUUUUAAAAAUAGAGGCUGUGCGAGUGCAGCGUCUCUCCAACAGUGGUCUACACUCGAGACACUUGGCAGCGUUUAAAAAUAGAGGCUGUGCGAGUGCAGCGUGUCUCCAACAGUGGUCUACACUCGAGACACUCGGCAGCGUUUAAAAAUACAGGCUGUGCGAGUGCAGCGUCUCUCCAACAGUGGUCUACACUCGAGACACUCGGCAGCGUUUAAAAAUAGAGCGUGUGCGAGUGCAGCGUCUCUCCAACAGUGGUCUACACUCGAGAAACUCGGCAGCUUUUAAAAAUAGAGCGUGUGUGAGUGCAGCGUCUCUCCAACAGUGGUCUACACUCGAGACACUCGUCAGUGUUAAAAAAUAGAGCGUGUGCGAGUGCAGCGUCUCUCCCACAGUGGUCUACACUCGAGACACUCAGCAGCUUUUAAAAAUAGAGCGUGUGUGAGUGCAGCGUCUCUCCAACAGUGGUCUACACUCGAGACACUCGUCAGCGUUUAAAAAUAGAGCGUGUGCGAGUGCAGCGUCUCUCCAACAGUGGUCUACACUCGAGAAACUCGGCAGCUUUUAAAAAUAGAGCGUGUGUGAGUGCAGCGUCUCUCCAACAGUGGUCUACACUCGAGACACUCGUCAGUGUUUAAAAAUAGAGCGUGUGCGAGUGCAGCGUCUCUCCAACAGUGGUCUACACUCGAGACACUCGUCAGCGUUUAAAAAUAGAGCGUGUGUGAGUGCAGCGUCUCUCCAACAGUCUACAAAUGGCUUUGCUGCUUUUCAUUUCUUUGCAACUCUUGAAGGGUCCUGUUUCAAACUUUGAUUUCUCCAAAUCGUGGCAACAACAUGAAAUAAAAAGGUUGGUGUUUAGGUUGUCAAAGAAUGUAUAGCUUUAUCAGUUCAGCUUUACUUUCCUGGAUUUAUUUUCAAAACCAUCUUCAUAUUGUAUUUCUCCCACAGGGCUCCCCACUGUCCAUAUCUAGUUCACCCAGAUUGUUAGUGACCUUCGUUUCUUCGUAUCUAGUAUAUGCCAGUUAGCAAAAUGGCAGCCCUCUUCACGCCUUGGAUUCUAGAAAAGGCUGUUCCUGACUUUGAAGUUUAGGCCUCCACAGGAGGCCUGUUGUCAGGGCCGGUUCGUUACCUCCAGUUUAUCACCUAGGGGAACAGAUUCCCCCGCCGAUGUCGAAAGGCAGUUCUCUCAUGUUACGAAAAUGGGAUCUGUGGCUAUAAGUUAAAUACUGCCAAGCAACAUACUAAGUUACCACUUUCAAAAUGAAAAUUGAGUGGUUCCUAUUCG
rnacentral:lncRNA from 1 species